rnacentral:rRNA from 1 species
AGCUCCAAUAGCGUAUAUUAAAGUUGUUGCGGUUAAAAAGCUCGUAGUUGGAGUUCUGCCAGGUGACACUCGUCCGCCCAAGUGGUGUGUACAGGGUGUGCAUCUGGCCCUUUCAAGGGAACGUGUCUGCACUUCAUUGUGUGGUGCGAGAUCCUUGACUUUUACUUUGAGGAAAUAAGAGUGUUCCAAGCAGGCUCUCGUCGUGCAUAGCUCAGCAUGGAAUAAUAGCAUUGGACUUCGUUUCUACGCUGUUGGUUGCAAGAAGCGAGGUAAUGAUGAAGAGGGAUAGGUUGGGGGC